AGCUGCAGGGUUUGAGAUAAUCUCACUGAUUAUCCAUUAUGUUCUGUGUAGGUGCUAUAAAGUGUGACGUGAUCAUGGAACGGCAGAGUCACCUGAAGCGUGCCCAGUCACUCAGGAGCGUCUUCUCAUCAUGUGAGAAGUCAGCCUGGGCAGGCAGAGGGCUGCAGGACAAGACAACAUCAGUGUCUCAGUUAGUGGCCAGGUACCAAACUACAGUAAAAGUAAGCCCAAUCAUUCAUGCAGUAGAGAAUGAAGGACAGCCGAGGCUCACAGAGACACCAGCUCUCCUACAAAACAAAGAGACUCAUCUGGAAACUCUGAUGAGGAGAAAUGACGAGAGGGAACGCUCUCGAUCCAAAACCAAGCUGACCCGCAGUAAAUCGACCGGCAGUCUUCAAAAGAGCUCCGGGUCUAUAGAAGCUCUGAGAACUCUGUUUGAGUCAAAAUCUGCUACGGAGAACAAAAUGAAGAACAGCUUCAGAGCUGCAGACUCACGUCACAUGGCAGACAUGUCACUGAUGAAUGGAGAGGUGGAGGGUGUAAAGAGUGCUGCAGUGGCACAGAAAACACACACACAUGCUAAUGCUAAAGCUGUUGUGAAGGAGGAUCAAAAGGUGAUGAAUCAGAGCCGGAGGGAGAGGAGAAAAACAAUAGGGGGGAUUGAUUUUGAAGAAAUUGCAGCCUCUGAAGCCGGUGAGUUCCAGACAACAUGAUCUUCUCUCUAAUCAUCAAUUAGUGUCCUCUGUGAUCAACUGUCAGAUAGAUGUUCUC
ensembl:lncRNA